AACGUAGGAGACAAGCGUUAUCCGGAGUUACUGGGCGUAAAGGGCGUGUAGGUGGUUGCGUAAGUCUGGCGUGAAAUUUUUCGGCUUAACCGGGAAAGGUCGUCGGAUACUGCGUAGCUAGAGGACGGUAGAGGCGUGUGGAAUUCCGGGUGUAGUGGUGAAAUGCGUAGAUAUCGGGAGGAACACCAGUGGCGAAGGCGACUACCUGGCCUGUUCUUGACGCUGAGGCGCGAAAGCUAGGGGAGCAAACGGG
rnacentral:rRNA from 1 species